rnacentral:lncRNA from 1 species
UUUGAUAUUCACUCAUCCAUUACUCGUGUCAUUCCCUUCUUAUUGUUUCCAAUGCCAUUGGUAGUUCAGUAGCCAUUAUGUCAUUUAAUAAUCUCUUUUUUAUGCCUCCUUGUUAUUUCUAUCAUUUCUGCUGUCAAUGCCUUAGUUUUCUUCCUAAUCUGUUUUAUUAUUUUUGCAUUUUCUCAUUCUAUUUUCAAAUCUAUCAUAUAUGCUUCCAUUACCAAAGCUGUGUUCAUUGGCAAUGGAAGCAUAUCCCCUUGGCUAUGUCCUUUUUGUGUUGAUCCAAACUUUGGGCUAGGGUUAGAUAAGAGUGACAAUUGAACCCUAGCCAAAAGGUUUAGUGAACAGCAAUGAUAAACUGUUUUGUAAUAUUAAUGAAUUUGUUUAUCAUAAAUAUUAUAUAGUAUUCUAAUAAAUUGUCAACAGAAAUACUAGAGUCAAAUUAAAACAUAAAUUUUAAUUUUUUAGUAGAAAUUUUAUAUUCAGCUUUAAAUGUGAUUAUAUUUCUUGAUUAUUUGAAUGUAAUUUUUAAACUUUUAUCUUUAUUUCAAAAUUAAUCUGAAAAAUAUGAUGAUUUCUUAUGAUUGC